rnacentral:sRNA from 1 species
GUGACUUCAGUUUUUCGUCUUUCAACUUCAGUUGCUCAUCUGCAGUCACCAGCUGGGAUUUGAACCCAGCCAAUCUGACUCCUGAGCUCCUCUUUCCUCCCACUUAGUCUUUUCCCCUGAGCCCAACAGCACCUUAGAGCAUGUCUAAUGCACGUGCUUACUGCCUUCAUCUCACUGCAGCCUGUCCCUGCCAGCUGUGUCACCUUCAUCCUGCUGCCAGCCCCUGGUGACUCUCCCGUUACAGAUCAGAGACCAGACUCCAGGGGUGGAGAGUAGGGGUUCUGGACCAGCCGCUCUCUGCUCCUAGAGCUCUUGUCUACACAACUGCCUGGUGCUCAGGGGAUGACGAGGCGCCUGCCUCUCUCAGUAGGUUGUGUGUCCUGGCAGCAGGGGUGAGACCUGUCCUCUUUCAAAGCUCCAGCACAUCUGUGCUGGAUGUCACCUGACUCCAUCCAGUGACGGAUUCAUAUUCUCUGUUUCGACAUCUUCAGUUGCUGGACAACUAAAUGCCAUCUUCAAUACCUUUAAUGCCAUCUUUUUUUUUUCUUCUUUUGCAGCAAUGGAUGGUGUGCCUUUUAUGAUUUCAGAGAAGUUUUCUUGUGUUCCAGAAAGUAUGCAGCCCUUUGAUCUCCUGGGAAUCACCAUCAAAUCUCUAGCAGAAAUCGAAAAAGAGUACGAGUACAGCUUCCGCACAGAGCAGAGCGCAGCCGCCAGGCUCCCGCCCAGCCCCACCAGGUGUCAGCAGAUCCCGCAGUCCUGAGGAGCCAGCGGCCACCUGCGGGGAGACCACCGCCGCCCAGACUACUGACGGCAGGGGCUGCUGCCCCCGCCUCCUCCUGCCGCCUCCGCCAGCCCUCCCUCCCACACUGCCCCAGCAGGGCUGGCCCGGAGACUGGGCAGCUAAGUGGGCGCAUCCCGUCUUCGGCUGGCCUGACUGACACCCCGGCCUCCCUGGGGACGUUGUUCAUAACCAUGACUAAUCUGUGUGUGCUGUAGUGACCAGCGGCUCCUAACGUGUCUGUGUGAUGACCAGUUGUCCUCCAAAAACCUCACUCACCACGGAGUCACCCUGAGGGCCCCGGGCAGUUGCCCUGGCCGCCCAGUGACGCCCACCGGCUCCCUCCGCUCCCUCCUGUCACCUACCAGGGCAGACCCCACUAAGCCGUUGAGUCUCUUCCUGGAAGACCCUGAGGGCCGGCAGCUUUGCCUAGGACUGUCCAGGGUCGCUGAUCCUCCCCGGCCUAGGGCUGCCAGGAACAAGUUCCUCUCUGCAGGAUCUCACAGCAGCCCUGAGAAGACAUGGGAGGAAGAAGCCAGUGGCCCCGGGGUGGACCCUGCCCUUUGGACAUCCCAUGGACUUGUCACCCAGUCGCCUGGAAGUCGGGGAGCAGCACCCCUGCCCCCGGUGGAGGAGUUGUUGCUUUCUGGGGAGGAGGACGGUUGACGGCCCUGCUUGGAUCCACCACCAGGACGCUGUGCUCGGCCAUGGUGCGCCUCCCCCAAGGGCUCAUCUUCGCAACAACCACAUGCCAACAAUAGCUCCAGGUGCCUCAGCCCCGUGCCCUGACCCGGGGACCACAGGGACGCCCUCUGAGACGUGCUGGCCCCAGGAGGAUACAGGCACACGGGCACCCAUCCCCUCUCAGAGCCAGGCGUGUCUUGACGGUAUCUGCUGAUGGGAACAAGUCAUUCUGAAAGGUCCCUCUGACCCAGGUCACCAAAUUUGGGCCAGAACUGGCACUUCUCCUGAGUGCCCACUGGUGCUGGCGUCCUCAAAGUGCCGGGCGCCAAGUUCAGCCCCAGGUGCGUUUGCCUAGGCAGUGGUGGCUGCCAUCCCUCGGGGCCCAGGCCCUCACCCAAAGGGCUGCCUCACUCUGUGGUGUCAGGCACUGGGCUGUGUCCUGAUUCCUCAGAGUAUGGGGACCUGACAUCUUUGGGUCCCCAAGAGUUGGCUCUUGGAUGUGGGGGCUUGAUGCUGCGGUUGGGGGCUGCACUAUCUGGGUCCGUGGAAGCCUCUGCCUCAGCGGGGACGGCCUCCCGCUGCAGGUCCUGGGCAGCCCACAGUAGUGCUAGCUGAGGCCGGGAGGAAAGGGAGGCAGCACCGGACGGUGCAGCUGGCCAAGAGGCGGGCGGGGCCAGAAAUACCUCAUGCCCCUGCACCAGCCCCUCCGUCUCCAGGCCCCAGGCCUCUGUGUGGACCCAUCUUCCUCCUCUGCCACCCCAAUCUUCACUCGGAUACCUCUUGAUUUCUGUGGAUAAGGGAAGCAGCCACUUCUCCCUCCCUGAGACCCGAGGAUGCCCCUGGUGGGGGUGGCCGCCUCAGGACUCCUGGGUGGCACAGCGGCAGGACCUUGUCAUGGGACUGAUGCUGAGCAGGGAGGGGGCUGCCAGGCUGGCUGCCGAUGCUCCGUUCACAUAAGCCAGUGUGGUUCUGGGGACCUGAGGAGCCACCUAUAUCUGCCGUGGCUCCUCGGGUGGUGCCCUGUGUGACAAAGCCCAACAGCAAGGGUGACUCCUGGCAGGUGGGGGCAGCAGGAGGGCAGAGCUCUGCCCACUUCAUUAAGGUUUGUGAACUUUGUCCUUCACCUCUUUUCGUGCCCUGGUUGUGAGAUUGCCUCUAACAGGUAAUGCCAGGGGCCCUUCACUCCGCCCCCAUGACUGGGAAGAGGCCUGUGGCAGCUCCGCUGGACCCUAGGAGGCUCAGAGGCAGUGGUGUGGGAGCCCUGUCUGCAAGGACGCAGAAUAAGCAGUGAGGGCGGCUGCAGGAGAGGAAGGGGCUCCCACAGCCCCCACUGAUGCUGCAGGCCCCUGUCGAGCUGGGGUCCCAGCCAGGUGCCCCCGCAUGCCCUCCUGCAGUUGCUGGAUGGAUAGGGACACCAGGAAGAGGACAAACUGCGUGGACUCAAGCGAGCUGGAGCCAUCUUCUCCAUAGCAUUACGGACUUAGCAUAAGAGUAAAUGACUGUGAACGUUGUAGUAAAUGGCAGCUUAAGAUAAGUAAGCAGAGACAGUGUUAAGGAUGAGUUGGUGUCUGUGGUAGCUUUUAGGCUGCUCCUAACCCACCAUUUAUUGCCUUCUGAGAGGUGGGUGAGGACAAGCAUGUGCCUGUGUGUGUGUGCGUGUGUAUGUGUGUGUGUGCGCGCGCACAUGCGUGUGUAUAAGCCCACCCGAGUGGGGCUCGUGCAGGAGAACUGAGGCGUGAAACUCUGGCUCAAACCUAGGAAUUCAGAGCGUUUCUGUCUUUUGGGAGAGUACUUUUCUCCACGAGCCCUCUGGCCACUGUGGGAGGGAAGGACAAGGGUUCCCUUGGAAAUGUGAAGGGUCUUGGCCUCAUCCCUCAGGUCCCCCCACAGCACUUCCCACUACUGCUGCUGUCCCUGCUGGCAGCCUCUGUCCCUCCAGAACGGCUACCCAGAGCACACUGUCCCCACCGCCUCCCCUUUCUCUCUGGAAAGUUGAAGUAUCUCCAAAGGCCUUGGAAAUGGCACAAAGGUGAUAAGGAGCAGGUGCUUUGCUGCAGGCUCCCUUGCAAAUGUAUAAUUAAGGCCUUUCUUCCCACCCCAAGUCCAAGAAAAAAUGCCAGCCACGUCCUCCGCCACUUGGAGAGAUGAGAACCCAGUGGGGUCACGUAAAGGAAUUGCAGGUCGGUGAGAGGACAAGAGGGACUCCCAUGUUCUAAGCACCUGUUCCUGGCCAGGCUCUAGGCCAGGCUCUCUAAGCACAUUUCUCCUUUCAUUCCCCCUAAAAACAUAAAAACAGAGUGACCUGGAAGUAGAUGUUCUUUGCUCCUUGUCAGAGUUGAAGGGGCUGAGACUUGGCCCGCUGCUGAGCGGCAGAGGCAGGGCCAGCCAUCCUGUCGCAAGCCCGUGCUGGGGCUGCCCUUUCUGUUUCCAGUCCAGUUACGGACUUCCCGGCCGCCACUGGGCCCUGCCGGUCACCAGGCCACUGUGCAGUGGGCGCAGAGCAUGGUCAGGAGUGGCCUGCCCGUACUUCUCCACCCAGAUGAGGGUCCUCCAGAGCCUGCAGGCAUCUGUGGGGAAUCCCAGCCUGCAGGUUCUUGGAGAAGCAGGUGAGCCUAAGGAUGAAAGCAAAGGAGGGCCUUGAGGAAGCAGCCCCCAGGCCUGGCAGCCACGCAGCGGCUGAGCUCAUGAACUUGGUUCGCAGCCUGCCUUGCCCCUGGAGGCCACGCCAGGCGCUCACCCCUGAGCCCACAGCCCCUGCUUGGGCUGCCUGGCACCCUCAGGGUGGCCCGGCCGCCUCCUGCCACUCUGAGCACAUGUCCGGGGGUUGCCACCAGAGACGGCUUUGUUCUCCCAGCUAAGGCCGUGGAGCUGUUGUGUGACUGUGUCAGGCCUGGACAAGGAAGGCCCUUAGGGAUGACGUCCCCGCUGCAUAUUUAUUCAAGGUGACUCUUGUACUUGGCAAGGGAAGUCCACUGUGUGAUUGUCUGUAUUCUUAAUAUAAUUUGUUAAAUAAACGUUUGUUUUAACCUCUUUC